rnacentral:rRNA from 1 species
UCUGGCGACCAUAGCGACGUGGAACCACACCUUCCCUUUCCGAACAGGACCGUGAAACAUGUCCGCGCCAAUGAUAGUCGGCUUCGCGCCGGCGAAAGUAGGUCAUCGCCAGAC